GCUGUUAAGGGUUCGUAGUUGAAUUGUGGGGCGUGAACCCGAGGUCAAGUCCUUUUCCCCGGUCUAGGAAAGCCUCGAUCACGUCUCGAGAACGUCAGAAACUAGUAUCACGGGAGCGUCUUUUUCAAAGGUUCCACCCAAUUUUACGCGAGCAAUGCCCGCGGGUGGACGUCCGUGUUCUUACUGUGACUAAAGAAGUGCGACCAAAGCAGUCCAUCGACAUGAAUUAGAAAGCAUGGGUAACAAAGGAGCAGCCUAUGGGCUACCGUUUAGGCUUUUGUUGGUUUUAAAAGUUCGUGGGGAUUACGGGCGCGCAGGACCGGCGGUUGGAGUUUCUUUUUGGGCUCCUCCGUCUCCCCCUUGGUUGGGAAACCGGCUCUUGCGGGGCCUGCGUGACUCAGGAAUGAAGGAGGGUUGCUCGGGGGGAACGUACUUGAGCGUGAGAGGUGAAAUUCUUAGACCGCUCAAAGACGACUACAGCGAAGGCAUUCUCCAAGGAUACCUUCCUCAAUCAAGAACCAAAGUGUGGGGUCGAAGAUGAUUAGAUACCAUUGUAGUCC
rnacentral:rRNA from 1 species